GAAAUGCGAUACUUGGUGUGAAUUGCAGAAUUCAGUGAAUCAUCGAAUCUUUGAACGCACCUUGCACCCUUUGGUAUUCUGAAGGGUACACCCGUUUGAGUGUCAUUGUAAUCUCACCUCUUUGGCUUUAUUGUCGAUCAGUGUGGACUUGGAUGUUGCCGUGUAACAAACGGCUCGUCUGAAAUGCCUGAGUGUACCCUGCUUUGCGGCGUAUUCGGUGUGAUAAAUCUUCACCGGAGUCUGACUUUCGGGUCGCGCUUGUAUUGUUGGCUCUAUGCUUCCAACCGUCCUAACAAGACAAUCUUUGACAAUUUGACCUCAAAUCGGGUGGGACUACCCGCUGAACUUAA
rnacentral:misc_RNA from 1 species